AUAGCCUAACGGCUGAACCAGCAACUUGGAGGAAUGUAUAGCAAUUGCUAUUUGCGCUAAUGUUUUAGUGUAAAAUCGACUAUGUCGCAUAAAAUUCUGGAUAGAAUUAUGAUAAUGACAUUAUCUAUUUAUAAGUCUUGACCAAAUUACGUGCCAGCAGUCGCGGUAAUACGUAGAAGACAAGUGUUAUUCAUCUUUAAUAGGUUUAAAGGGUACUUAGACGGUAAAUAAAGCCUCAAAAAGGGACUAGUUUGCUAGAGUUUUAUAUGAAGGGGUUUUAAAGUACUACUGGUGUAGAGAUGAAAUUCAGUUAUACCUUACAUGGCACAGGUUAAGGCGAAAGCAUCUUCUUAUGUAAAAACUGACGUUGAAGGACGAAGGCUUUGUGUCUCGAACAGGAUUAGAUACCCUAGUAGUCUAAGCAGAAAAUCAUGAAUGUCAUAGAUUAGAUAUAAUUUGAUCUAUAAAUGAUAGUGUAAGCAUUCCACCUCAAGAGUAAUUUGGCAACAUUGGAACUGAAAUCAUUAGACCGUUUCUGAAACCAGUAGUGAAGUAUGUUGUUUAAUUUGAUAAUCCGCAAAAAACCUUACCACAAUUUGAAUAGAUAUAUUUUAUCAUACAGGCGUUGCACGGCUGUUUUUAGUUAAUGUCGUGAGACUUUGGUUAGUUCCAUUAAAUUAACGUAAACCCUUACUUUAUUUUUAUAUAAAGUAGUUCACCGCUAUAUUGGAUGUGAUAAUAGGGAUCAAGACAAGUCAUCAUGACCU
rnacentral:rRNA from 1 species